rnacentral:piRNA from 1 species
UACUGUAAGCAGUAUUUCUGGAGCAGUGA